GUGAGAAGCUAAGGUCUUUUGUAAAGUCUUCUUUCAAGAAAAAGUGUAAAAAAGUUAGAAGUAUUAUCCUCCAAGUUCUGAAGCUGAAAGAUCGCCAGUUCGGAAACCAAAAGUGUUGCCCCAAGAAAGAUGCAUACAUGUGGCAGAGUGUGUUAUUGAUACGGUGGCAGUGUGCAACACAAA